rnacentral:rRNA from 1 species
AAGAGACAGCAGCCGCCGCGGUAAAACGAAGGGUGCAAGCGUUAAUCGGAAUUACUGGGCGUAAAGCGUGCGUAGGCGGUGAGUUAAGUCUGCUGUGAAAUCCCCGGGCUCAACCUGGGAAUGGCAGUGGAUACUGGCUCGCUAGAGUGUGUCAGAGGAUGGUGGAAUUCCCGGUGUAGCAGUGAAAUGCGUAGAGAUCGGAAGGAACAUCUGUGGCGAAGGCGACUAUCUGGGCCAACACUGACACUGAGGCACGAAAGCGUGGGGAGCAAACAGGAUUAGAUACCCCUGUAGUCCCUGUCUCUUAUAA